rnacentral:lncRNA from 1 species
GUCAUCUACAGUUAAGAUAAGCUUUUAAGUUCUAGAAGUGAUGAACCAUGUGGUUUAGAAAAACAUGCUACAGAUAAAAUAAUCCCUUCUCCUGAUAAAUGAUUUUGUCAAGCAGAUUACAAGGUAUCUUUAAGGCUGGAGACAUUACUUCUAAAGCUAUCGAGGUCAUGAAAAAGCAAUGGUGUUCAUUUAAUCAACUGAAGAUAAAGCAUUAUGAGCUCCAAGGCUGUGGCCAUGCUGAGGCACUGCC